CAACGUCAUCGGUGGGUGCCCAGGGGAGCGAAGCCCCGCGCGGGGCCUCCCCGGGCGCGUGGCGCGUUGUUCUUAGGCGGCUUCACCGAGCGCCUGCGCAGCGCGUCACCGGCGGGGACCUUCGGGCUUCCCUGCAGCCCCGGAGACAGGCCCGUGGGAGCCUCCCCCCGGCUCGGGGUUCGCCCCGCUCAGUCUCGCCCCGGGGCCUCGGACCCGCCCCCACCUCCCCCCCCCAUGGGGCCUCACCCGCCCCCCCCCAGCUGGUCCCUCGGGGGCCUCGGACCUGCCCCCAGGCUCCCACUUUCUCCCCCUGUGGGACCUGGGAUCCCCCUUCCCCCUGUGGGACCUUUGGACACCUCUCCUACUCCCCUCCCCCCAAUGGGGACGUGGACCCACCCCUGUCCCCACACAAGGGGCUGGAUGUCUUUCCCCUGCCACCACUCAAAGGCCUCAAGGAAAUCCCUUGGACCUGAAUGACGCGGAGGGCGGGCUCUGCCCAGCAGCGGGGAGGUUGGAGGCAGGCAUCAGCCAGGGGCAGAGUUAAGGGUGCUGUUCAGCAGACCCUUGGAAAACUGGCACCUAAGGUGCUGGGAACCUGCCAGGCACAGAUCCCUCUGAGUGCCCAUUGGGAGCUGAAGUCACUCAGCGUCUCACAAGAUCAAGCAUGAUGCAGUAAAGCAGCCUAGAAGACAUUGCCCUCUGUAUGGGAAGAGCCGUCGUUGGACGAUCCCACAGGCCACUUUGUGAAAUCCAUCCCGGUCAGCCAAUCUAGUCUCUUUUUCUUUCUGCUGUGGUGAUGGAAGCGAAGGGGUGAGAGAGAUUAAUUAGGGCUUGUAAAGUGCUCUGGGACCCUCCCAAGGAAGAUGCUGCUUGUAAAGUGCUAAGUAUUGUUUUUGUCAGCCCAGUCUCAGAAGGGAAUAUUUUAUAAAAGUGAAUCUUGAUCACUAUCUGUUAGUAAUAAAUUAUAAAACACUG